GAGCGUGAGUUAUGUUAGCUUUGCAAAAGCUAAAAAGAAUUAUAUUAUGAUUCCAUGCUUU
rnacentral:tRNA from 1 species